UCGCCCUACGGGACGCAGCAGUGGGGAAUAUUGCACAAUGGGGGGAACCCUGAUGCAGCGACGCCGCGUGGGCGAUGGAGUAUUUCGGUAUGUAAAGCCCUAUCGGCAGGGAAGAAAAUGACAGUACCUGACUAAGAAGCCCCGGCUAACUACGUGCCAGCAGCCGCGGUAAUACGUAGGUGGCAAGCGUUGUUCGGAAUAACUGGGCGUAAAGGAUGCGUAGGCGGUUAAACAAGUUAUAUGUUAAA
rnacentral:rRNA from 1 species